AAGAAGAUACACACAUAGGAAGAUCUUCCUUGCAGCCCUGUUUGUAAAACUGGAAACAACCCAGAUGACCAAAAUAACCGAAGAACUGCUUUAAAAUGGUGCAAUAAUUUAUGGAAACCCAAGACAAGCAAGCUUUAGGACUCUGUAUCAUCUCCCUGCUAAGAAACUGCUGCAGUCACAGAAAGGAAGAUUGAAGCCUGUAGGGAAUCCUUCAACUGUGGACUGUGAAGUUGGGCAUCAGAAGACUAACCCCAAUCCACUGCACCCUGGAGAAAUAAGCCCUUCUUGCUGGGAGAGAAACUGAGUCAAUCUACAUUAGGAAACACAGAGAGACAAAGUUUGGUGAAGAGAAAGAAAACAAACUGUAUA